rnacentral:lncRNA from 1 species
CAGGCACUGUCAGCCUAAAAGAGGUAGUCCAAAGCUGCAUUUAGGGACUGAACUGUAGUUCUGGUUUAUUUCAGAUUUAUACUCCUCUUCUUGACUAGUACUACUAUUGUUAUUUUAGCCAAGCUUUGUCCAGGAGAUUCCCAUGAUGCUAGACUGUUGUCUUAUUAAAUGUUCCUGUAGCAAAUAAGAUAAACAAGGCAUUCAGUGAACCAGACUAGGGACAGGUAAUUCACAAUCCUUUAUCACUGUUCUUAGUGGAAUUCAAAAGAAACAUUUUUGUAUUUUCCUAGACAUAUAUUAGACUUCUGUAAACAAAAUAUAGACCUCUAAUGAGGAAAAAAAUAUUUUACUUUACAAAAAAAAGUUGGUAGGUAGCUUGAAUAUUGCUGAAAAUAUAUUUAAACUCUUUUGUCCAAGUGGAAGUACUCAUUACACACCAUCAUAAUAUUGAGUGAAUUUAUGAGAGUCAGGUCAACAUAUAGGAAAUACUUGCUAACAUUUUUUAUGAGUCUUCUCUCUGAUGAGUAGCUUAUGCUUUUCUAUAUAUAUACAUUUCUUAUCCUAUUAAAGGAAAUGGAGGCCUACCUCUAGUGGGUUUAAUUAAUUAGUAUUUAACUCAAGAAAUUCCCCUGCCAUUUGCCAUCAAAGCAUU